rnacentral:lncRNA from 10 species
UCAGUAUUCGGGGUCCGACCGCGCGCGUCGCGGAUCCCGGGGCCGAAGACGACCCCAAGUAUCGGAGAGGCAGAGUCGCGAUCUCAGGCCGUCGAGCCCCGUCCCGCAGUCCGCGGGCCCAUGUUGCCUGCGGGGCCUCGGACCUGCCCGGCCGAGGUGGGGGUCGAGGGCGGCCCGGCAGGCGCAGCUCUGAUGGCCUCGGCGGGUUGUGGGCUAUUUAAAACGGCUUGUCCCAGCUCGAAGCGGUCCUGGAAGACUCGGGCCCUACCCCUGACUUUACCGAUGAGAGACUGAGGCCCAGACGGUGUGGGGUCAGGGCCCAGGCUUCUGGGGGAUGCUGCCAAGGCGGGAGCCAGCGUCCCCAGUGCCCGGUGGAUUCGUGAUGGCUUGCAGAGGGUUUCAGUUUCCACUGUCCAGCCCUCCCUGCAGACCAAUGCCUAGGUGUGACAGUUUGGUAGGAAAGGGGCCGGAUAUUUGUCUCCAGGCUGGGUUUGCCUAGCGAGUCGCUGCAUUUACUAAGAUUGUUGGUUAAUUUGGGUGGCUGGGGGAGGGAGGCUGAUGGAGAUACCCCCCAACCCCAACAAACCCUUGGCGUCAGGAGAGGAGGGGCUUUUCCUGGAGCUUGCGGAAGGUCACCGAAAUCGUGGGGGUAUCUGAGAGCUUCUGGGGCGCGCGGGUGCAGGGGAAGGGGUCAUGCUUCCGUGGAAGCGGUGGCCUCCAGGUGGAGCCGAUGAAGGGGCAGAUAGGGGUUUGAAGCAGGACGUUAAGGGAGCCUGAAGCAAAACUAAUCUCUGGAGCUAAAAAUAGGAGUGGGCCUGGCGCGGUGGCUCACACCUGUAAUCCCAGCACUUUAGGAGGCCGAGGUGGGCGGAUUGCCUGAGCUCAGGACUUCGAGACCAGCCUGGGCAACACGGUGAAACCCCGUCUCUACUAAAAUACAAAAAACUAGCCGGGCGUGGUGGCGCGCGCCUGUAGUCCCAGCUACUCGAGAGGCUAAGGCAGGAGAAUUACUUGAACCCGGGAGGCGAAAGUGCAGUGAGCCAAGAUCGCUCCACUGCACUCCAGCAUGGGCAACAGAGCACGACUCCGUCUUAAUAAUAGUAAUAAUAAUAAGAAGAAGAAGAAGAAGAAGAGGAGUGGCUGCCUAUGCCGGAGUUGUUGACUGGAACAAGAGGAGGAACCUUCUGGGCUGCUGGUAAUGUUCUAUGCCUGGAUUUGGGUAGUAGUUACAUGGGAGCACGCAUAAGUAAACAUUCUUCAAACUGUCUUCUUAAGAUGAGUGCAUGUCACUGUGUGUAUGUAUAUAUAAUACCUUCAUUUCUUAAAGGCAGGUGAGAACAAUCUGGCGUUAGAGGUGAGAGUACUGGUUGCCUUUGGGGUAUCAACUGGAAGGAGGCACAAGGAGAGGCCUCUAGGGGGCUGGGAACAUUCUGUAUCUUCAGCACAGCCGUUUUGUAACGUUGGGUCUGUAAAUGUGUAUAAAUUCAUCAAACUGUAUUCUAAAUAUUUGCAUGUUACUAUUUGUGUAUGACACCUUAAAAGUUUUUUUUAAAAAGUCUGAGCAGAUCACCUGGCUCAAAAUCAAAGUUAAAUCUUCCCCCUUGGAC